ACACAUUGUACUUAGUACAAAGUAAUAGCUUAAAUUCCUAUUUUGGCUCAGUUAAUACCUCAAGUUAAGCUUGUAAAAGCCUUUACGCAUCAGCCUGAGAUAAUCCGAAAGUCCGUCGCAAGCCCGCUGCGAACAAUUUCCAAAACGGCAUCAAAGUCGUCAAAUAGUAAUAACUAUAGUCGGAAUCUUACGAUUUCAGUUUUCUAACUGCAAUUCCUGCUUACCUCAGGUUAGAACACCUUCUAACCAGUUCCCAAGGUCACCAAUUAAGCUUAAAUUAUGUAAUAUACCGAAAAUUCGGAAAAUAAAAAUGUCGAACUUUAGUCAAAUUGACCAAAGUGCGAGGAUGGAACACUUCGGAAAGUCCGAAGGUGUUAAAAUGAUUAAAAGUGAGUUGUGGAUGGUUUUCGAGAGCUAGAGAAUUGAAUUCUGCAAAACUGCAGAUUUUCAGCUCUCGAGGACCGGUCCCUGAAGGGAGAGACCGGUCCCCGAACGCGUGCAGAGUGAGACAGCCGAAAAAUCGGCUAAGUCCUGGAAGAUCAGCUCUCGGGAACCGGUCUCUGCCUGAGAGACCGGUCCCCCAGAGACCGGUCCCAUAAGGAGAGACCGGUUGCACUGCGCGCAGCAGCUCAGCUGCGCAGGGUGGACGUUCGGGAACCGGUCCCUGCUCGGGGAGACCGGUCUCUGCCUGCGCGAUCAGCCCAGUCCAGGCUGUGUGAGAGAGUAAAAGUUGAGGGGUUUAGCUGCAAUUUUGCAACCCAAUAGCUAUGUAUUGAGGGUUAAUGAG
rnacentral:lncRNA from 1 species